GGAACAAUAAAGUAAUUAAGGUAAUCACAUUCUCCUUGGACCCUUUUCUGGACUUCUGAUGUUGUCGGAUUUGUCAUGCAUCUUCUUACUGAUAUGCAGGGCACAGGUAUUAAUUUCGCCAACAUUCAAAAUUCUCCUGUGUACCCAAUUAUAUAUGCAAAAUCAGCCAAGAAAAGUGGAGUAGACGAAAAUGCAACAAGGUGGCUAAUAAUUGAAGCAAAUUUGUUCAAGCAAUUUGCACACUAAAUGAUCGGUUAUUCCGUGUUCUGUUGUUCAGGAACUGCGAACCAAAUUCGAUGGACCAAGAAAUUAUCAAAGGAAAGAUUGUUGUCUGUGACAAUGAAGAUUCAUUGUAUCCACAGAUAAAUAAACAAGAUGAAGUGAAGAAACUUGGAGGUAUUGGGGUAAUCUUGAUUGACGAUGAAUUAAGAGGCGUCGCAUUCAAUUUCGGUACAUUUCCAAUGACUCUGAUCAGUUCAAAAGAUGGUGCUAAGGUUCUCUCCUACAUCAACUCAACAAAGUAAUACAGCUACUCAUCUCAAAUGGAACUCAAGAUUGAAUUUAAUUCAAGGUUUCAAUCUACUUACCAUUUGCCUGUUUUGAGAUUUGUAGAAAUCCAGUUGCCACGAUCUUGCCUACGACAGCACCAGCAAAUUAUAAACCGGCACCUACUAUAGCAUAUUUCUCAUCUGGAGGCCCUUCCACCAUCCCAAAGAAU
rnacentral:lncRNA from 1 species